UGAUAUCCUUGCAAAUUCAGAUGCAUUCAAGUGAAGGUCUUCUUGGUGCUUAUGUGAACCCCAGUGGUUAUUAACACGAGAUAGUGGCUCUCUACGCAAUUGGCUUAGCACUCAUAGGUUCAACAGUGAAAGAAUACAGCUGAUUUCCUGGGUAGGACCUUUCCUGUGAAACCAUAUAGUGUGAUUCCAAGUUAUUCAGGGCUCAGACCUUUGCAUGAUGGAUGUGUUGGACUAUAUCGUUUGAUACAUUUAGGUUGCUGGUGUUUCUGUUUUGUGUUGGGACUGGGUAGCUCAAGACUACAUAAUGAAGGUUCGAUGUUGGAUAAGGAGUCCAGAAGUUCAAAGCGGGCGACAAAGUUGUAGCAUUUCACCAUGUGAGAAGAGCCUCUGCUUCAGAAUUGGAAUGAACAGAAGAAGUAGAAGAAAAUGCUAACAACUGAAACUGC